rnacentral:rRNA from 1 species
GACGUAGGGCGCGAGCGUUGCCCGGAUUUAUUGGGCGUAAAGAGCUCGUAGGCGGCUUGUCGCGUCGUUCGUGAAAACCCGGGGCUCAACUCCGGGCUUGCGGGCGAUACGGGCAGGCUAGAGUUCGGUAGGGGAGACUGGAAUUCCUGGUGUAGCGGUGAAAUGCGCAGAUAUCAGGAGGAACACCGGUGGCGAAGGCGGGUCUCUGGGCCGAUACUGACGCUGAGGAGCGAAAGCGUGGGGAGCGAACAGG